rnacentral:sRNA from 1 species
UGUCUACAUUUGCGGGGAUGGGUGGGUAAAGAGAACCCUCGUGGGUUCGUACCGAGCGAAGCGACAAACGUAGGCUUGCCUGCGGCCCGAAGGGGCAUUAUCCCUCCCUCACCGACA